CCAAUAGCGUAUAUUAAAGUUGUUGCAGUUAAAAAGCUCGUAGUUGAAUUUCGGGAUCAAUAUAUCGGUCGUGCCUUCGGUACGUACUGGUAUCGUUGAUUUCUACCUUCUGACGAACCAUGAUGUCAUUAAUUUGGUGUCAUGGGAAAUCAGGACUGUUACUUUGAAAAAAUUAGAGUGUUUAAAGCAGGCACACGCUUGAAUACAUUAGCAUGGAAUAAUGAAAUAGGACGUUUGACCCUAUUUUGUUGGUUUCUAGGAUCGACGUAAUGAUUAAUAGGGAUAGUUGGGGGCAUUAGUAUUCAAUUGUCAGAGGUGAAAUUCUUGGAUUUAUUGAAGACUAACUACUGCGAAAGCAUUUGCCAAGGAUGUUUUCAUUAAUCAAGAACGAAAGUUAGGGGAUCGAAGACGAUCAGGUACCGUCGUAGUCUUAACCAUAAACUAUGCCGACUAGGGAUCGGAUGAUGUUAAUUUUUUAAUGACUCAUUCGGCGCCUUACG
rnacentral:rRNA from 1 species